GAUGUACUCCUUCCGUCCGAAAAAACUUGUCCCGGCCUUGUUCCUCAAAUGAAUGUAUCUAAUACCAACUUAAUGCUAGAUACAUUCAUUUGGGGCACAAACUUUUCCGAACAGAGGGAGUAGUAG
rnacentral:pre_miRNA from 1 species